AAGAGACGUUGCCCUUCGGGGUAUACCUCCCACCCUUUGUUUAUCAUACCUUUGUUGCUUUGGCGGGCCCGUCUUCGGACCACCGGCUUUGGCUGGUCUGUGCCCGCCAGAGGACCCCAAACUCUGUUUGUUAGUGUCGUCUGAGUACUAUAUAAUAGUUA
rnacentral:misc_RNA from 1 species